GGGCUGUGUUCUUUUAGGAAAAUUGUCUUGAAAUAAUACUUGGGAAUCGGCUAAGAUGCAGGUCGAGAGGCUUCUCGUUAGGCGUCUGGACUCUUGAAGCAGAGUGGUUACAGGGUUAUUUUGUCAUGCUAUGAUGUAUAUAUAUAUA